rnacentral:tRNA from 1 species
AGUAAGGUAAGCUAAUCCAAGCUAAUAGGUUCAUACCCUAUGUAUAGAAGAACUUUUACCUUCUCCCUACUA